GUGGGGAAUUUUGGACAAUGGGCGAAAGCCUGAUCCAGCCAUGCCGCGUGAGUGAAGAAGGCCUUCGGGUUGUAAAGCUCUUUCAGCCGGAAAGAAAUCGCGCAGGAUAAUACUCUGCGUGGAUGACGGUACCGGAAGAAGAAGCACCGGCUAACUACGUGCCAGCAGCCGCGGUAAUACGUAGGGUGCGAGCGUUAAUCGGAAUUACUGGGCGUAAAGCGUGCGCAGGCGGUUAUGUAAGACAGAUGUGAAAUCCCCGGGCUCAACCUGGGAACUGCGUUUGUGACUGCAUAACUAGAGUACGGCAGAGGGAGGUGGAAUUCCGCGUGUAGCAGUGAAAUGCGUAGAUAUGCGGAGGAACACCGAUGGCGAAGGCAGCCUCCUGGGCCAGUACUGACGCUCAUGCACGAAAGCGUGGGGAGCAAACAGGAUUAGAAACCCCAGUAGUCC
rnacentral:rRNA from 1 species